rnacentral:rRNA from 1 species
GGAAACCCCGGUCGGGAGGCUGAGGCAAAAAGGAGGAUCCAAGCGUUGUCCUGAAUCAUUGGGUUUAAAGGGUCCGUAGGCGGCCUUAUAAGUAAGUGGUGAAAGCCCAUCGCUUAACGAUGGAACGGCCAUUGAUACUGUAGGGCUUGAAUUUUUGUGAAGUAACUAGAAUAUGUAGUGUAGCGGUGAAAUGCUUAGAUAUUACAUGGAAUACCAAUUGCGAAGGCAGGUUACUAACAAACAAUUGACGCUGAUGGACGAAAGCGUGGGGAGCGAACAGGAUUAGAUAUCCCUGUAGUC